GCUGUUCUUCGUCAUAGGUUUUGUUUAGGUUCUAGGGUUAGGUUUUCCCUAAAUUAGAUUCGUUUGCUGUGGAUUUUGUCUCAGUUGAAGGUUAGGAUCUUCAAUUGAUGAUCAUCGCUGGCUCGAUCGUUGCUUCUAUGGUUUGAUGAUUUGGUUAAUUUGAAGCUUAUUAUCGCUAAUUUUUUAUGGUGAUUUUCGAGAUUUAAUCAUGAUUGUGUUUUUGGCGGUGGAUUUGUUGUUUCGAAGGAUCGAACGGGAUGGGUACCAGUUUUUGCACUAGUUUCGGUUUGUUUACGUGGUAAUUUCUGGUGGUAAUUUCUGGAUCAUUCCAAUUAUCGGACAAAUUUGACAUCAAUUUUCCUUCAAAGUUAGCCCUUUUUGGUUCUUCUUUUUGGUUUUCUUGCUGUGCUUCUUGUAGAAUGAUGGAUUUCGGGCCAUGUGGAGUGGGAAGGAACUAUCUCUUGGAUGGAUGUGAGGGUAAUCUGAAUCUGGAGUUUUUAUUUCAUUCAUAUCUGUGGUUGUUAUUGUUGUAGGCGGUGCUCUUGACUUUCAGUAGUUUUGGUGUGGUAACGAUCGAGGAUUGAUGAGGAAGAUUCAACUUUUACUAUUGUUGGGUUUGUUGAUUAGUAAUUUCUGGAUCGUUCUUUGUUAUCAAGAUUUUCGUGUUUUCUUUUUCUGGUUCUUUUGAUGUUCUCGUUAUGGUGUGGCAGAAUCGUAGUCUUCGGUGGGGCUAAAAAAGACUUUCUGGACGCGUAUAUUAUACGGCAUCGGGAAUGUUUUCCCUCGUCCCUUUUUUGGUUUCCCUUUUUAUUUCCUGAAAAAAUUAGUCGGGGAGUCUAUCAGUAACUGGCCUUAUGUGUUGUAUUGAUUUAGGGGAGCUUGGAUACAAGAGGGUUUACCCUGCUAUACUGGUUUACCAAAUUCGAGAGAAGUUUUCUCUGUCCUCCUUUUCUGCUGUUUGACGGAGUUUUUUGGCUAUAGAUGCUGAGUUGUUCUGCGAGACAGGUGUUCGUUUUCUGAUUUGCUUCAUUACUUGUGUUGUGCAAUAUAGGAUUUCAGUGAUUCGGAGUUGCGGUGAUAACUGAGCCUUCCUUCCUCAGAUGGACACGCUGUGUUGAAAUAGCUUUCAACCUCUCCAUUCAAUUUGCCUGCACCUAUUUCGCUGCUCUUCUCUUGAGUCUAGGAUUGUGUUGUGCAAUAUAGGGUUUCAGUGAUUCGGAGUUGUGGUGAUAACUGAGCCUUCCUUCCUCAGAUGGUAAACUGAUUCGGAGGGAGUUAUCUUCUCACCCAUAAUCUUGUGCUUGAGGAAUUUAUGCUUUUGGCACCAUUCAAUUUACCUGCACCUAUUUUGCUGCUCUUUCUCUUGAGUCUAGGAUUGUGUUGUACAAUAUAGGGUUUCAGUGAUUCGGAGUUGUGGUGAUAACUGAGCCAGCCUUCCUCAGAUGGUAAACUGAUUUGGAGGGAGUUAUCUUCUCACCCAUAAUCUUGUGCUUGAGGAAUUUAUGCUUUUGGCACCUUUUGAUAUCUGCACACUGUUUUCUCGAGUUUUUUUUUUCUUUUUUAGAACUUCAGGACACACACUGCUGAAAUAGCUUUCAACCUCUCCAUUCAAUUUGCCUGCACCUACUUUGCUGCUCUUUCUCGAGUCUAGGAUUAGCAGAAGGUUAGGAUCUUCAAUUGAUGAUCUUCACUGGGUUCGACCGUUGCUUCUAUGGUUUGAUGAUUUGAUUAAUUUGAAGCUUAUUAUCGCUAAUUUUUUUAUGGCGAUUUUUGAGAUUUAAUCAUGGUUGUUUCCGGGCGGUGGCUCUGGUAUUUCGAAGGAUUGAACGGGAAGGAUACCAUUUUUUGCAGUAGUUUUGGUUUGUUUAUGUGGUAAUUUCUGGAUAAUUCCAAUUAUCAGACAAAUUUGACAUCAAGUCUCCUCCAAAAUUAAUGCUUUUCUGGUUUUUUUGAUGUGCUUAUUGCAGAAUGAUGGAUUUCGGGCAUGUACAGUGGGAAGGAACUCUCUCUUGGAUGGAUGUGAGCGUAAUCUGAAUCCUGGAGUUUUUUUUUCAUAUCUGUGGUGUGGUUAUUGUUGUUCUUAUUGCUGUAGGCGGUGAUCUGGACUUUGAAUAGUUUUGGUGUGGUGUCGUUCGAAGAUUGAUGAAGAUUUGUGUUUUUACUAUUGUCGGGUUUGUUGAUUAGUAAUUUCCCGAUUGUUCUUUGUUAUCAAGAUCGUCGUCUUUUCUUUUUCUUGUUCUUUUGAUGUCCUCGUGGCUUGGCAGAAUCCUAGCCUUAGGUGGAGCUAAAAAAGAUAUUGCAUCCGAAUAUUAUACGAAAUUGGGAGUUUUUCCCUCCUCCCUUUUUGGUUUCCUUUCUUAUUUCCUGAAAAAAUUAGGCGGGGAGUCAAUUAGUAACUGGCCCUCUCUGUUGUAUUGAUUUAGGGGAGCUUGAAUGCAAGAGGGUCUGGUCGCAUUUUUUAUCCUGCUAUACUGGUUUACAAGAUUCCAGAAGUUUUACAAGAUUCCAGAAGUUCUCUGUCCUUGUUUUCUGCUGUUUGACUAGGGAGUUCUCUGGCUAAAGGUGCUGGUUUGCUCUGUGAGACAGCUGUGUUCGUUUUCUGAUUUCCUGCAUCAAUCUGUGUUGUGCAAUACCGGGUUUCAGUGAUUUGGAGUUGUGAUAACUGAGCCUUCCUUCCUCAGAUGGUAAACUGUUUUGGAGGGAGUUAUUUUCUUACAAACAAUCUUGUACUUGAGGAAUUUAUGCUUUUGGCACCUUUUGAUACCUGUACACAGUUUUGUCGAGUAUUUUUCUUUUUGAGAACUCCAGGAGAAACACCGUUGAAAUAGCUUUCAACCUCUCCAUCCAAUUUGCGCACAUACUUUGCUGCUUCUCCAUCAGAGUUAUCUUUGCCCAUUUGUUGUCUUCAGGGUUUUGAAUUUAUUUUGGUUCCAUAUGGUCCUCAGAUGCUUAGGAUUGUGUCAAUGUGGCAAUAUUGCUGCUGUCAGGUAUUUCUUAGCUUUUAAAUUCUGCCAUCAAACAUGUUUUUCUAGGUAGUUCCCAUAGAAUUUUCUUCUUGAUCCGAACAAGAAUCAAGUUUAUGCUUGUUACAUGAAUAGGUUUGGUGUUAUGGUAGAUUAUCUGAAUUUGUCAAUUCAUUUGUCAGUUCUCAUCUUUGCAUCCAAUUUCAGUUUUGUUGGCUUUUUGUGUCACUUGCAACUUUAAUGAGAGGAAGGUCUCUUGUAUGUUGCUCUGUGAAUUAAUUGGACGUAUUUGAACAUAAUCUCUUAUUUUGGGCUCAACAUUGGUAUUUCAGUCGUUGCUUUAGGUUGUGUUGCUAUAUGUUGUGGCUCUGGGUUUCAGCAAUUUUUGUGGUGUUGAUUGAGGAUUGAUCUUGAGGUUUUGCGGUUUGUUGAUGUAGUUAUUCUUGAAUGGUUCUGGUUGAUGUUUAAAGGUUGUCUUCUUUUCUGGUUCUUUGAUGUGGUCUGAGAAUGAUGGAGUUCUGCGUAUGGAAGUAAUUCUUGGAUGGAGGGAAGCAAAAAAGAGCUUCUUGGAUGGAUGAAUGUGAUAAAUCGGGAGUUUUUUCUCUGCCAACCAAUUCUUUCUUUUGCCUACAAAUAGCUGGUAUUCGUUGGUAAUAGCUUAUUUAUUGUCUGCAUUUUAGGGAAGUUUGGAUCGGAGCAUUCUCGGCAUUUGUGUGACCUGCUAUUCCAGUUUUCAAGAUUUUGGAGGAGCUUUCUCUUUCCCUACUUGUUUUUCUGCUGUUUCCUUGAAAUUGAUUAGGAAAUUUGUGGAUUUGCUCCUUGUUCUCUAAUUUCCCAUAUUACUAGGGUGCUGCAACUUAGGGUUUCAGUGAAGUGAUUCGUGAUUCUUUGAUGGAUGGAAGCAAAAAAGAGCUCUUCUUGGAUGGAUGAAUGUGAUAAAUCGGGAGUUUUUUUUUUUCUGCCAACCAAUUCUUUCUGUUGAAUAAAAAUAGUUGGUAUUCGUUGGUAAUAGCUUAUCUAUUGUCUUCAUUUUAGGGAAGUUUGGAUUGGAGCAUUCUCGUCAUUUGUGUGACCUGCUAUUCCAGUUUACAAGAUUUUGGAGGAGCUCUCUCUUUCCCUACUUGUUUUUCUGCUGUUUCCUUGAAAUUGAUUAGGAUAUCUGUGGAUUUGCUCCUCUUCUCUAAUUUCCUAUAUUACUAUGGUGCAGCUUGGGGUUUUAGUGAAGUGAUUCGUGCUUCACACUUGCCUCCCCAUUCUCAGAUCAAGGGCUAGAUAAAUUUUUUGGAGGGAGUUAUUUUCUCACCUACACAAAUUGUUCUUUUGUGCUAGAGGAAUUUAGGGGUUUCAAUGCCUUAAUUAUAAUUUAUCUGUGAAUCUUUUUGGCCUGGCGGCAUUUCUUGCAGAGUCAACGAUGAAUAGAACGGGUUAUAACCAAAUGCAUCUCUGUGCUUAUUCAAGUUUAUUUGUGUGGGUGGGGUUCCUGGUAUUUUGCUCAUUCAGCUUGAUCUGAAGAAGUGUUAAGGCUAUGCAUAUUGGUCUGAUUGCAUGAACACUACUUGAGAUGGAACAUGGGCUUUUUGGAUGCGAUGUUUCUUAGAAUUAUGGGAUGCGGUUCUUCUUGGAAUUAUGGAAUUGAUGUGAUUGUGAUCCUUAAUUUUGAGUUUUGCUUUCUGCUUUAUUUUUGUAUUGCUGUACUCAGUUGCUCUGGUUUUUGAGCAGUUCCCCUAUAGAGUUGAUUGGUAAAAAGACAGUAAAAAGAUUUUGAGGUUAAUGACGGUUUGUUUUGUUCUUGGUGAUUUUUCAAGAUUUGUUUUCUCUUCUCUGGCUCUUUUGAUGUCAUUUUUCAAGAAUAGUGGAUUUCUGGUAUGUGGAGGCUAGAAGAGCUCUCUCUUGGAUGGAUGUGAAUAAAAUCGGGAGAUUUUCUUUUCAACCUGGUCUUUUUUUGUUCUCUCUUGCCUGAAAAAAUCAGGUGGGUGAUGGCUUCUCUCCGUUGUCUUGAUUUUAGGGAAGCUUGUUCCAGGAGUGUCGGUGUGUUUGGUACCCUGCUAACUGGUUUUGUAACAAGAUAUUGGAUAAGCGCUCUCUUUCCCUACUCUCUUUUUUUGGCUGUUUUCUUU